rnacentral:rRNA from 1 species
CAGCCGCCGCGGUAAUACGAAGGGGGCUAGCGUUGCUCGGAAUGACUGGGCGUAAAGGGCGCGUAGGCGGCGGCCAAAGUCAGGCGUGAAAUUCCCGGGCUCAACCUGGGGGCUGCGUUUGAUACUUGGUUGCUUGAGUGGGGAAGAGGGUCGUGGAAUUCCCAGUGUAGAGGUGAAAUUCGUAGAUAUUGGGAAGAACACCGGUUGCGAAGGCGGCGACCUGGUCCUUUACUGACGCUGAUGCACGAAAGCUAGGGGAGCAAACAGGAUUAGAUACCCCAGUAGUCCCUGUCUCUUAUAA